rnacentral:rRNA from 1 species
AGCGAACGUUAGCGGCGCGCCUAACACAUGCAAGUCGCACGAGAAACGGAGCAAUCCGCGGUACAGUGGCGCACGGGUGAGUAACACGUGGAUGACCUUCCCUGGAGUGGUGGAUAACCUGCCGAAAGGCGGGCUAAUACAGCAUGGGACCACGACUCUUUGGCGAUGUGGUGAAAGCGGGCCUCUAUAUAUAAGCUCGCGCUCCGGGACGGGUCCGCGUCCCAUCAGCUAGUUGGUGAGGUAACGGCUCACCAAGGCAACGACGGGUAGCUGGUCUGAGAGGAUGGCCAGCCACACUGGAACUGAGACACGGUCCAGACUCCUACGGGAGGCAGCAGUGGGGAAUCUUGCGCAAUGGGCGAAAGCCUGACGCAGCGACGCCGCGUGGGCGAAGAAGGCCUCGGUUGUAA